rnacentral:rRNA from 1 species
UGAGAGAACGAUGCUGAAGGAACUAGGCAAAUUGCCCUCGUAACUUCGGAAGAAGAGGGACCCCAUUUAACGCAAGUUUUUGGGGUGGCACAGACUAGGGGGUAGCGACUGUUUAUUAAAAACACAGGGCUCUGCGAAAUCGAUAAGAUGACGUAUAGGGUCUGACGCCUGCCCGGUGCUGGAAGGUUAAAAGGAGGAGUGCAAGCUCUGAAUUGAAGCCCCAGUAAACGGCGGCCGUAACCAUAACGGUCCUAAGGUAGCGAAAUUCCUUGUCGGGUAAGUUCCGACCCGCACGAAUGGCGUAACGACUUCCCCACUGUCUCCAGCGUCGACUCAGUGAAAUUGAACUCUCCGUGAGGAUGCGGAGUUCCCGCGGUUAGACGGAAAGACCCCGUGCACCUUUACUACAACUUUGCAGUGGUAUUAGGCGUCGCAUGUGUAGGAUAGGUGGGAGACUAUGAAACCCGGUCGCCAGAUCGGGUGGAGUCAACCUUGAAAUACCACCCUUGUGAUGCUUGAUAUCUAACCACGCGCCGUCAUCCGGCGUUGGGACCCUGCAUGGUGGGUAGUUUGACUGGGGCGGUCGCCUCCUAAAGCGUAACGGAGGCGCGCGAUGGUAAGCUCAGGAUGGUCGGAAAUCAUCCCUUAGAGUGCAAUGGCAUAAGCUUGCCUGACUGCGAGACAUACAAGUCGAGCAGAGUCGAAAGACGGUCAUAGUGAUCCGGUGGUUCCUUGUGGAAGGGCCAUCGCUCAACGGAUAAAAGGUACGCCGGGGAUAACAGGCUGAUGAUUCCCAAGAGUCCAUAUCGACGGAAUCGUUUGGCACCUCGAUGUCGGCUCAUCACAUCCUGGGGCUGGAGAAGGUCCCAAGGGUACGGCUGUUCGCCGUUUAAAGUGGUACGUGAGCUGGGUUUAGAACGUCGUGAGACAGUUCGGUCCCUAUCUGCCGUGGGUGUAGGAAAAUUGAGAGGAUCUGACCUUAGUACGAGAGGACCGGGUUGGGCGUACCUCUGGUGUACCUGUUGUUCCGCCAGGAGCAUCGCAGGGUAGCUAUGUACGGAAGGGAUAAACGCUGAAAGCAUCUAAGCGUGAAACCCGCCUCAAAACUAGUUUUCCCCAUUAGAGCCGUAGAAGACUACUACGUUGAUAGGACGCAUGUGAAAGUACCGUAAGGUAUGUAGCUGAGCGUUACUAAUAGCUCGAUUGGAAAAG